rnacentral:rRNA from 1 species
GACGAACGCUGGCGGCGUGCUUAACACAUGCAAGUCGAACGAGUGGCGAACGGGUGAGUAACACGUGGGUGAUCGGCCUUGCACUACGGGAUAAGCUUGGGAAACUGGGUAUAAUACCGGAUAGUGCAAGAUGAGCUCGCGGCCUAUCAGCUUGUUGGUGGGGUAAUGGCUACCAAGGCGCGAAGGGUAGCCGGCCUGAGAGGGUGUACGGCCACAUUGGGACUGCGAUACGGCCCAGAGGCGUACGGGAGGCAGCGGGGGGAAAUAUUGUACAAUGGGCGGAAGCGUGUGGCAGAGACGCCGGGUGGGGAAUGAACGCUUACGGGUGGUAAACUCCUUUCGACAGGGACGCGGUACCUGUAUAAGAAGCACCGGCUAACUACGUGCCAGCAGCCGCGGUAAUAC